rnacentral:tRNA from 1 species
GCCUUAGUAGUAUAAAAAUUACAUUGGUCUUGUAAACCAAAAACGAGAAAUCAAUUCUCCUAAGACA